GGGCUGGGGGGGGGUGGCUACACAUGCAGUCGAACGAUGAACUCCAGCUUGCUGGGGGGAUUAGUGGCGAACGGGUGAGUAACACGUGAGUAACCUGCCCUGGACUCUGGGAUAACCCCGAGAAAUCGGAGCUAAUACCGGAUAGGACCUGGAACCGCAUGGUUUUGGGUGGAAAGUUUUUUCGGUCUGGGAUGGACUCGCGGCCUAUCAGCUUGUUGGUGAGGUAAUGGCUCACCAAGGCGUCGACGGGUAGCCGGCCUGAGAGGGUGACCGGCCACACUGGGACUGAGACACGGCCCAGACUCCUACGGGAGGCAGCAGUGGGGAAUAUUGCACAAUGGGCGAAAGCCUGAUGCAGCAACGCCGCGUGAGGGAUGACGGCCUUCGGGUUGUAAACCUCUUUUAGUAAGGAAGAAGGGGAGCUUGCUCCUUGACGGUACUUGCAGAAAAAGGACCGGCUAACUACGUGCCAGCAGCCGCGGUAAUACGUAGGGUCCGAGCGUUGUCCGGAAUUAUUGGGCGUAAAGAGCUCGUAGGCGGUUUGUCACGUCUGCUGUGAAAUCCCGAGGCUCAACCUCGGGCCUGCAGUGGGUACGGGCAGACUGGAGUGCGGUAGGGGAGAUUGGAAUUCCUGGUGUAGCGGUGGAAUGCGCAGAUAUCAGGAGGAACACCGAUGGCGAAGGCAGAUCUCUGGGCCGUAACUGACGCUGAGGAGCGAAAGCGUGGGGAGCGAACAGGAUUAGAUACCCUGGUAGUCCACGCCGUAAACGUUGGGCGCUAGAUGUGGGGACCAUUCCACGGUUUCCGUGUCGUAGCUAACGCAUUAAGCGCCCCGCCUGGGGAGUACGGCCGCAAGGCUAAAACUCAAAGGAAUUGACGGGGGCCCGCACAAGCGGCGGAGCAUGCGGAUUAAUUCGAUGCAACGCGAAGAACCUUACCAAGGCUUGACAUAUACGAGAACGCUGCAGAAAUGUUGAACUCUUUGGACACUCGUAUACAGGUUGUGCAUGGCUGUCGUCAGCUCGUGUCGUGAGAUGCUGGGUUAAGUCCCGCAACGAGCGCAACCCUCGUCGUAUGUGCAGCACGUAAUGUGGGACCUCAUAUGAGAACUGCGGGUCACCUCGGAAGGAAGGUGCGAUGACGGCCAUAUUCAUUCAUGUUCCUAUGGCCUUGGGCUUCACAGCAACGCUAUAC
rnacentral:rRNA from 1 species